rnacentral:rRNA from 1 species
CGCCUACGGGGGGCAGCAGUGAGGAAUAUUGAUCAAUGGGAGAGAUCCUGAACCAGCCAAGCCGCGUGAGGGAAGACGGCCCUAUGGGUUGUAAACCUCUUUUGUCGGAGAACAAAACCCGGGACGUGUCCCGGACUGCGUGUAUCCGAAGAAAAAGCAUCGGCUAACUCCGUGCCAGCAGCCGCGGUAAUACGGAGGAUGCGAGCGUUAUCCGGAUUUAUUGGGUUUAAAGGGUGCGCAGGCGGCCUGUUAAGUCAGCGGUAAAAGCCCGGGGCUCAACCCCGGCGAGCCGCUGAAACUGGCGG